rnacentral:lncRNA from 1 species
AGUGGCAACUUGUUCGGGUAUCCUUCCCCAGUGUGGAAGCUUUAGUUCUUUUGCUCUUUGCAAUGAAUCUUGCUGCUGCUCACUCUUUGGGUCCACGCUGCGUUUACACUGUGUUUAUGAGCUGUAACACUCACCACAAAGGUCUGCAGCUUCACUCCUGAAGCCAGCAAAGACCACGAACCCACCAGGAAGAAGGAACAACUCCAGACACGCAGCCUUAAGAGCUGUAACACUCACUGCCAAGGUCUUCAGCUUCACUCCUGAGCCAGCCAGACCAUGAACCCACCAGAAGGAAAAAACUCGGAACACAUCCCAACAUCAGAAGGAACAAACUCUGGACAUGCCGCCUUUAAGAACUGUAACAACGCAAGGGUCCGCGGCUUUAUUCUUGAAGUCAGUAAGACCAAGAACCCAAUUCCGGACACGUUUGGACCAUGGAAAGGCAGCUCAACAUCUGAGAAGCCAGUCUUACUCCCUGCAGGCAACAGCUGCUUCCAGAAAACAGCCCUAUUACUUCACCAAAGUACAGUUCCUACAGGAAGAUAAUGAUCUGACCUAACCUACUAUUGGCUGAAGGAAGGAGAAAAGCAGCUGAAGAUGUCUGUUGAGUGAUUACCCUCAUAAUCCGUGACUAAGAACAUCCAAAUCAGCAUGGCUUCUUCCUGUCUGAAAUUAUUACUACUUAGGGUUUUUCACGUGUUAUUUCAUUUAUUGAUUAUUCUGUUUUAAACUUGCAAGACGUAUUGUCUCUUCAGAAAUAAAACUUUAUCACUUGCUUCAUCAAUUCAA